rnacentral:lncRNA from 1 species
AAAGUGCCUUAGACUCCAGUGUGGCUGGAUUCCUGCCAUAAGGACAGAUUUCCCAGUGUCUGCGAGAGAUUAAGCCUGGGAGCGUAUCCCAGUUUUUGUCAGUCCUGUCACCACUGCGUGUGCUCAGGGAUCGGGGCCCUUUGCUCAGCAGGAGCCCCCCAGCAGCAGGCGAGCCCGUCGCGGGGCAGCACCCGAGCAAACCCCAGGAUGUGGAGCUGGGGCACUGGGCUGCUGCGGGCUGGUUUGGUGGCAAAGCUGUGCGGUGCUUUGGAGGAACUUCCUCUUCCCCAGGAGUCCGAUAACGUGGGGUUUCUGCCCAUCCGCUGAGCCGCUGUCCGUCUCUGAGCAGGCUGGAAGGAGGGGUUUGCCGGCGAGGAAUUACGUUCUGUUACUGGAAGCAAGUGCUGCUCAGCAAAGCGCCGUGAGGCAGAACUGAGGAACCUGCUGGAUGGUAGGGGAAAAAAAUGCAUUGGAUUCUUUGAAUGCUGCUAAAUGGAAACCGUGCCCACACCAUUACGAGUUGCAGCAGCAGGAGGUGGCACAGCCCUCCUGCUGGUCCUGCAGAACGCUCUGCCACCAGGAGCCAACGAGAGGUGGGUGCCCCCCGGGCGCUUCUGCUCCCAGCGCUUUGCGUUUAUUCGUGUGGCUCCAAGCAGCGGGUGCGGGAGCGCAGCCCCUGCCCGUGCGCGGCUUGCUGGCUCCCUGCCGCGCCUCUGGAGCCAGCUGCAGCGGCCGAGCUGCUGAGCACAACGGUGCAGCCAGCCAGGCCUGCAGGCACAGCCCUCAGCUUGGGCCUGCAUCGCAAGGGCUCUUUUCCCUGCUCAUCAGCCAGGUGGUGUUCCCCAGCUGAGGCCAGUCCUGGCUCUCCGGGAGCGCUGUGCAGCACCCAGCAAUGGGGUGAUCGCUGCUUGUGCUCUCGGAGAUGAGAAAGGGCCUGAGCAAGGCACGCAGCCUCGACUCAGAAAGGCUGCAGCCAUUCACAGGCUGAAGGUAAGGGAGCGUGAAGAAAGAUAAGGAGGUAAAAUGAGAAUAAAAUGAAGGUGGUAGACGCA